rnacentral:rRNA from 1 species
UACGUAGGGACCGAGCGUUGUCCGGAUUCAUUGGGCGUAAAGGGUGCGUAGGCGGUAGGGUAAGUCGGAUGUGAAAUCCCGGGGCUCAACCCCGGAACUGCAUUCGAUACUGCCUUGCUUGAGCACUGGAGAGGAGACUGGAAUUUACGGUGUAGCAGUGAAAUGCGUAGAUAUCGUAAGGAAGACCAGUGGCGAAGGCGAGUCUCUGGACAGUUGCUGACGCUGAGGCACGAAGGCCAGGGGAGCAAACGGG